rnacentral:rRNA from 1 species
CGACGAUCAGUAGGGGUUCUGAGAGGAAGGUCCCCCACAUUGGAACUGAGCCACGAUCAAAAUUUAUACGGGAGGCAGCAGUGAGGAAUAUUGGUCAAUGGACGAGAGUCUGAACCAGCCAAGUAGCGUGCAGGAUGACGGCCUAUGGGUUGUAAACUGCUUUUAUAAGGGAAUAAGUGAGUCUCGUGAGACUUUUUGCAUGUACCUUAUGAAUAAGGACCGGCUAAUUCCGUGCCAGCAGCCGCGGUAAUACGGAAGGUCCGGGCGUUAUCCGGAUUUAUUGGGUUUAAAGGGAGCGUAGGCCGGAGAUUAAGCGUGUUGUGAAAUGUAGACGCUCAACGUCUGCACUGCAGCGCGAACUGGUUUCCUUGAGUACGCACAAAGUGGGCGGAAUUCGUGGUGUAGCGGUGAAAUGCUUAGAUAUCACGAAGAACUCCGAUUGCGAAGGCAGCUCACUGGAGCGCAACUGACGCUGAAG